AAGUCGUAACAAGGUAACCGUAGGUGAACCUGCGGUUGGAUCAUUAAUGAUUUAUAAUAUAUCUGGCUUUUUCUUUUUUUUCCUAUUCGAACCUCGGAUAGGGAGACUAAGAAAUUGCCCAGUUAUCAACACCCUUGUGAACGUUUACCGUAUUUUUCUUUGGCAGCCCUCCAAUUUGUUUGGGCUGUCCAAAGUAAAACCAAAUUUUAAAAACUUUUUAUAUUUUUUGAGUCUUUUUUAUUUUUAAAAUAAAAAACAACUUUUGACAACGGAUCUCUUGGCUCUC
rnacentral:misc_RNA from 1 species